GCCGGGCGUGGUGGCGGGCGCCUGUAAUCCCAGCUACUUGGGAGGCUGAGGCAGGAGAAUCGCUUGAACCCGGGAGGCAGAGGUUGCAGUGAGCCAAGAUCAUGCCAUUGCACUCCAGCCUGGGUGACAGAGCGAGACUCCGUCUCAA
ensembl:misc_RNA Metazoa_SRP Metazoan signal recognition particle RNA